rnacentral:misc_RNA from 1 species
UCCAGACGGCCCUCGGCUGUCAGAUGCUUCUGGAGAAUCCGUCCACCUACGUCGCGUUCGCCGAGAGCACCUACGCGGAGACCGAUUUCAUCGCCGAAGUCGCCAGGCGCAGCGGUUGUGGCAAUAACGUUUUCGUCGCGUCGACCAAUCAGCAGUGGGAUCCGGUCGCCUAUAUCGAAGGCUAUCCGCUCGCGAGCGUGAAGGAGAUCCACCUCGCCGGGAACGACCGGCAGGCCNNNNNNUCUCAUCGAUACUCACGAUCGUCCGGUCGAGGAUGCCGUCUGGUAUCUCUACGAACUCG